rnacentral:misc_RNA from 1 species
AUAGUUCAUAGAGAACGCCAUAAUUAGGAGUCAGCAAGACUGAAAAAAGAAAACCACUUGACUAUUAUCACAAUAUGUAAAUCCUACAACUUUUUAGUUCAUAAUUUUGUUCAUUUUAUUGUAGUAAGCUUUUUUUGUAAAGUCUUCCUUUUCAUGAAAUCCAUAUAAGCUACAAAUGAAUUAAUAUCUAGGUUGUCUUGCAUUAUUGUAUGUACCUAUUCAUUGUCAUAGAAUUAAUAUUUUUUGCUUUUGCAAUAAUCCCUUGUUUUUAUAGAUUUGUUGAAAAACUGUUUUGUUUAUUUGUGAAUUGUUACACUGCCUUAAUGUUUCAAUGAUAUUAUGUGAGAAGUAUGCUUUGUGUCAUGUUUUUAUGUAAAUUACCAAAUAAAACAGUUUACAAAA